rnacentral:rRNA from 1 species
UACGUAGGGAGCGAGCGUUGUCCGGAUUCAUUGGGCGUAAAGAGCUCGUAGGCGGUCUGUCGCGUCGGCUGUGAAAACUCGGGGCUCAACUCCGAGCUUGCAGUCGAUACGGGCAGGCUAGAGUUCGGCAGGGGAGACUGGAAUUCCUGGUGUAGCGGUGAAAUGCGCAGAUAUCAGGAGGAACACCGGUGGCGAAGGCGGGUCUCUGGGCAACAACUGACGCUGAGGAGCGAAAGCGUGGGGAGCGAACAGG